UACGAAGGGGGCUAGCGUUGUUCGGAAUCACUGGGCGUAAAGCGUACGUAGGCGGACCGUUAAGUCGGGGGUGAAAUCCUGGGGCUCAACCUCGGAACUGCCUUCGAUACUGGCGGGCUCGAGUCCGGGAGAGGGGCGUGGAAAUCCCGGUGUAGAGGUGAAAUUCGUAGAUAUUAGGAAGAACACCGGUGGCGAAGGCGGCGCCCUGGUCCGGUACUGACGCUGAGGCGCGAAAGCGUGGGGAGCAAACAGG
rnacentral:rRNA from 1 species